AACGAACGCUGGCGGCAGGCCUAACACAUGCAAGUCGAACGCCCUAGCAAUAGGGAGUGGCGCACGGGUGCGUAACGCGUGGGAAUAUGCCCUUCACUGCGGAAUAACGUUUGGAAACGAACGCUAAUACCGCAUAAUGACUCCGGUCCAAAGAUUUAUCGGUGAAGGAUUAGCCCGCGUUAGAUUAGCUAGUUGGUGAGGUAAUGGCUCACCAAGGCGACGAUCUAUAGCUGGUCUGAGAGGAUGAUCAGCCACACUGGGACUGAGACACGGCCCAGACUCCUACGGGAGGCAGCAGUGAGGAAUAUUGGACAAUGGGCGCAAGCCUGAUCCAGCCAUGCCGCGUGAGUGAAG
rnacentral:rRNA from 1 species